rnacentral:piRNA from 1 species
UGAGCAGGCAACGAGCAACAAGGCAGCA